CGGGCACCUUCGCCCUUCCCGGGGCUGUCCUAGCGAUUAGAACUCUGGCAGUAAGGCCGGGCGUGGAGGGGGACGCAGUGAAAUGGUGGGGAAAUUUUUGUAAAAGUCAUUUCAGCGGCUUCCAACCCCAAGGAGGACGUACUUACCUGGGACUUGGGGCACAUACAACUUUCUCGACGCGAGUAGCUUCCCAGCCUCGUUGGUUCUGUCUCCGCUAGUAAAGAUACACUAGAGAGUCGAUUCUUGUGUUAAUCUGAGUCUACCCUUUCUCCCUCUCACUUUUUGCCAAAAAUGUCUUGCAUCAGAAGCAGGCAGGUGAAAGGAGGUCCUCCACUGAACGGUGUUUUCCAACCUGAUGGUUUUCCCUCUCGUUUUUGCUUUAAGAUCAAAGAGUAUUUGCAGUCUUCUUCGUGGGUGGCGAGAAGUAGAGGUCAAGAAGUGACGUCAGGAGGGAGAGGCGUUUGGAAUUGUUGGUUUUUAUCAAGACAGCUGGUUCCAGCCCAGAACUUCAACAUCGCCUUUACUUGGAAUCCACCCAUUUCUGUGAACAAUGGGAAACCUCAUCUCUCUUCUACCAAGAUCUCUCCAUGUCAGUGAAUGUUCAGUCAGCAUCUCCUCAACAUCUGGUUUCUCACAAGCACGCUGCGCAUAACGUUACAGGCCCCGGAAACAAAGAAGAGCCUCCCUGAGGAGGAGGAGCGCGAACAGAGGGCCAGAGCUCACUCCGAGGACCGUCCUAGACGACUGACAAGACGACACUAGGCUUUGAGCCCCUCUGACCUUCUCAUGCUUUCUCACUUUCUGUGCCCUGUCCCUCCAGGCAGCAGCCUCUCCUGCUCCCCACACCCAGCAAAGAAGGAGGCGUGUAGGCAGCAGCUGUGUGGCAAGUGAUCUGAUCGCGGUGCCGAGUUUGCCGAUCUGGGCGGUGAGAGCUGUUUUAAAAUUGUUAAUAUCUAGUGGGGUGACACUCUGAUUGAAAACACCUCCCUACCCUGUAAUUAAUUUGAAAUGUUUUGCUGUUUGUAAAAACAUUUUGUUCCACGUUUUGAUCUUCCCUUGUGUUUAAAGCUGUUAUUCUAGACUUGAGAGAAGUGUGAUUUUACGUUUGGGAUAAAUUGAGAAAAGAAAAAAAGUAAUACUCAAAAAACAGUCAAAUGUGGAGAAACUGGUACACAUUCUCAUACACUAUAAAUGUGAGUGCAAAUUGGGUAAAUCCCUUUAGAGGACAAUUUGGCAAAUUGGGGUAAAAUUAAUGUGUGUGUUUUUUUUGACAGUUACACAUCUAGGACUUUAUACUUUGGGUAUAUGUGUGCAAAAAGUAUGUAUUUCAGAGAUAUUUACAUAAACGUAUAAAAUAUAUGUUCAAGUAUGCUCGUUGCCACAUUGUUACAGAGGAAACGUAAUGGUGUAAAAGCCUAGUAACAAAAUCCCAGUAGGGAGCUGAUUAAACAAACUUAACUUAUUUUAUAAAAAUAAGAGAUCUAUUUGUACUGACAUGGAAGGAUGUCCAAACUCUGUAAGUGAAAAAAGCAAGUCGCAGGACAAUAUGAACAGUGUGGCCCCGUUUUUAUUUGUAUAUUCUGUCCGAAAAGUACGUUUAGAGGAACUCUGGAAAGAUACAUCACAAAGCGAUGACCAGUGGUUGUCUCUGGAUGCAGGGUUACUGGGGCCACGUGCUUUCUGUUACAAACUUCUGUCCGUUUGAAUUGUUUUUUUGUUGAGCACCUUUGAUAAUAAGAAAAGUAAUAAACAAAGCAUUUCAAAGAAAA